AAUCAACGCUGGCGGCGUGCCUAACACAUGCAAGUCGAACGAGAAAGUGGAGCAAUCCAUGAGUAAAGUGGCGACCGGGUGAGUAACACGUGACUAACCUACCUUCCAGUGGGGGAUAACCUCGGGAACCGGGGCGUAUACCGCAUAAUAUCUUCGGGAUGAAAGCCGAAGAUCAAGGAGCAAUUCGCUGGAGAGGAGUCGCGGCUGAUUAGCUAGUUGGCGGGGUAANGGCCACCAAGGCUUUGAUCGGUAGCCGGCCUGAGAGGGCGCACGGCCACACUGGAACUGAAACACGGGUCCAGACUCCUACGGGAGGGCAGC
rnacentral:rRNA from 1 species